AUCCUUCUGUAGUUCAUAAACAUGACGAUUGAGUUUUCAUGCGCAUGCAUGAGACAUGCCUCCCACAAAUCUUGUUCUGACGUCAGCACAGUAUCCAUCUGACA